GCUGUAUUAAUCUAUGUUAACCACUUCAACCAUCAGAAACUAUCUAUCAAACAUGUAUGCAAUUCCCAAUCUUACAGCAACUUCCUCUUUUCUAUUUUGCAGUGUUAUUUACAAUACAACUAUAUAUGGUAGCAUACAUACUUAUCUUGGAUCUAAUAAAGGUACCAGUUGACUAAAUCACAUAUCAAACUGCUAAUAACCCAACCAAAGAAAAGAAAUUCCAACAUAGUUCUUCAAAAUAUAGUACUAUAUAUAGCAUCAUACCUAUAGUACUAUAUAUAGCAUCAUACCAGCCAGCUCUCACGAAAAACUGACUGAUACUGCACCAAAAUCAACAGCAACACAAUGAAAGCAGCCACAGCCCAUGGUGAGGUACCCUCUGAAGGGAGAUGAUGAGUCCGGCGGCGACGUUCCCAUGGCGAUGAACCGAAUAGCAU
rnacentral:lncRNA from 1 species